rnacentral:rRNA from 1 species
GACGAACGCUGGCGGCGUGCUUAACACAUGCAAGUCGAACGGAAAGGCCCUGCUUUUGUGGGGUGCUCGAGUGGCGAACGGGUGAGUAACACGUGAGUAACCUGCCCUUGACUUUGGGAUAACUUCAGGAAACUGGGGCUAAUACCGGAUAGGAGCUACUGCUGCAUGGUGGGGGUUGGAAAGUUUCGGCGGUUGGGGAUGGACUCGCGGCGUAUCAGCUUGUUGGUGGGGUAGUGGCUUACCAAGGCUUUGACGGGUAGCCGGCCUGAGAGGGUGACCAGCCACAUUGGGACUGAGAUACGGCACAGACUCCUACGGGACGCAGCAGUGGAGAAUAUUGCAGAGUGGGCGGAAGCCUGGUGUAGCAACGCCGCGUGCGGGAAGACGUCCUUCGGGUUGGAAACCGAUGUCGCCUGUGACGAGGCGUGAGUGACGGUAACGGGUAAAUAAGCACCGGCUAACUACGUG